GGCAAAGAGCUUGCUACGUCCUGCCUGACGGUAGCCAACGGCGGUUACCCAUCCCCGACAAAGACGUCGC
rfam:Pseudomonas aeruginosa PAO1, complete genome.